rnacentral:rRNA from 1 species
GUGGGGAAUAUUGGACAAUGGGCGCAAGCCUGAUCCAGCCAUGCCGCGUGUGUGAAGAAGGCCUUCGGGUUGUAAAGCACUUUUGUUGGGGAAGAAAACCUGUUGGUUAAUACCCGAUGGGAAUGACGGUACCCAAAGAAUAAGCACCGGCUAACUUCGUGCCAGCAGCCGCGGUAAUACGAAGGGUGCAAGCGUUACUCGGAAUUACUGGGCGUAAAGCGUGCGUCGGUGGUUCGUUAAGUCUGCCGUGAAAGCCCCGGGCUCAACCUGGGAAUUGCGGUGGAUACUGGCGGACUAGAGUGCGGUAGAGGGUGGUGGAAUUCCCGGUGUAGCAGUGAAAUGCGUAGAGAUCGGGAGGAACAUCUGUGGCGAAGGCGGCCACCUGGACCAGCACUGACACUGAGGCACGAAAGCGUGGGGAGCAAACAGGAUUAGAAACCCCAGUAGUCC